rnacentral:RNase_P_RNA from 1 species
AUAUUUAGACAAAUGCUGCAUUGAUUUGCAAUGUAGAGGAAAGUCCAUGCUCACACAAUCUGAGAUGAUUGUAGUGUUCGUGCUUAGGGAAAAAAUAACCUAAGGUAGCAAAGCUAACGGCUUCGAAAAUAUCUUAUAAAAAAGAUAUAAGUAGAUGUAAAGUGCCACAGAAACGUAUGUGUCUGGUGACAGACAAAUGAAACGCGGUAAACCCCACGAGUGAGAAACCCAAAUUUUGGUAGGGGAACUAUAAAAAAGGAAAUGAACGAUUUUAUAGAUGCUUUUUAAGCAUAGAUAAAUAUUUGUCGCUCAUAAACAUGAGUACAGAACAUGGCUUAUUAAU